rnacentral:rRNA from 1 species
UACGGAGGGCGCAAGCGUUGUUCGGAAUCACUGGGCGUAAAGCGCGUGUAGGCGGCCGGGCAAGUUGGAUGUGAAAUCCCGAGGCUCAACCUCGGAACUGCAUUCGAAACUGCUCGGCUCGAGUCCUGGAGAGGAUGGCGGAAUUCCCGGUGUAGGGGGGAAAUCCGUAGAUAUCGGGAGGAACACCAGUGGCGAAGGCGGCCAUCUGGACGGUGACUGACGCUGAGACGCGAAAGCGUGGGGAGCAAACAGG